rnacentral:rRNA from 1 species
GUGAAAUUGUUGUAAAGGGAAACGAUUGAAGUCAGUCGUGCCGGUGGGGGAGUUCAACCACUCGGACUCGUCCGGGUUGUGUAGUUUUUCUCGCAUGGCAGGUCAGCGUCAGUUUUGGUUGCCGUGAAAUGAUUCUGGUAAGGUAGCUCGCUUCGGUGAGUGUUAUAGACCGGAGUAGAUGCGGUGGCCGGGACUGAGGAUUGCAGCAGACAUCCUUCGGGGGCGCUGUGUUCGGCCCCUGUUCGCGUGCCCGUGUCCGACAGCGUGCUGACGGGCGUGGGAGCGCGUGGGCACUGGGUUGACAUCACAUGCGGUUUGCUAAGGACGCUGACGUAAUGGCUUUAAACGAC